UACGUAGGGUGCGAGCGUUGUCCGGAAUUAUUGGGCGUAAAGAGCUUGUAGGCGGUUUGUCGCGUCUGCCGUGAAAAUCCGGGGCUCAACCCCGGACUUGCGGUGGGUACGGGCAGACUAGAGUGUGGUAGGGGAGACUGGAAUUCCUGGUGUAGCGGUGAAAUGCGCAGAUAUCAGGAGGAACACCGAUGGCGAAGGCAGGUCUCUGGGCACUAACUGACGCUGAGGAGCGAAAGCUGGGGAGCGAACAGGAUUAGAACCUACCAGUCAG
rnacentral:rRNA from 1 species